rnacentral:rRNA from 1 species
AUUGAACGCUGGCGGCAUGCCUUACACAUGCAAGUCGAACGGUAACAGGUCUUCGGAUGCUGACGAGUGGCGAACGGGUGAGUAAUACAUCGGAACGUGCCUAGUAGUGGGGGAUAACUACUCGAAAGAGUGGCUAAUACCGCAUGAGAUCUACGGAUGAAAGCAGGGGAUCGCAAGACCUUGUGCUACUAGAGCGGCCGAUGGCAGAUUAGGUAGUUGGUGGGAUAAAAGCUUACCAAGCCGACGAUCUGUAGCGGGUCUGAGAGGACGAUCAGCCACACUGGGACGGAGACACGGCCCAGACUCCUACGGGAGGCAGCAGUGGGGAAUUUUGGAAAAUGGGCGCAAGCCUGAUCCAGCAAUGCCGCGUGCAGGAUGAAGGCCUUCGGGUUGUAAACUGCUUUUGUACGGAACGAAAAGCCCUGGGUUAAUACCCUGGGGUCAUGACGGUACCGUAAGAUUAAGCACCGGCUAACUACGUGCCAGCCGCCGCGGUAAUAC